rnacentral:misc_RNA from 1 species
AAUGGGUCUUAUUCGGACACAGGAGGAGACGGGUAGAUAUGUUAGAAUGCUAACACAUGAAAUCAGAAGUACUCUGGAUAGACAUACUAUUUUGAAGACUACACUUGUUGAACUUGGAAGAGCAUUGCAACUGGAAGAGUGUGCUUUGUGGAUGCCGACUCGAACUGGAGUGGAGCUUCAACUUUCUUACACUUUACAUCAUCAAAAUCCAGUUGGAUUUACAGUACCUAUACAACUCCCUGUAAUUAAUCAAGUUUUCAGUGCAAAUUGUGCUGUUAAAAUUUCACCUAAUUCUGCCGUUGCAAG